CUUUAUCCUGUUUGGUGGGGAGGCACUUUCAGAGGCUUCUUAUGGAGUGGUGGUUGAUCAUGGAGUCAUCAGCAUGUAACCGACAGUAAGAGGCGUACGCAUAUGGGCGGCUAUGAUGAACCCCCGUGCGAAUCAAUUCCGUGGAAACAAAUGUGGGGAUGGAGGAAAAAGUUGGUGAGACCUCUGCUCUGCCCUACUCUUCCUGCAACCAGAGGCACUGAUGAUUUUGCUGCUUCUUGUCAUCUUGUUACUUAUGCAUGCGGUUUUGUACCCAGGUUUGAUUACUUCUAUUUUCA